rnacentral:snoRNA from 1 species
CACGCACACUGUUAGAGCCCGACGCUGUCCUGUCUGUGCAGUGCAGGGUGUAGGAUGUGUGCCAGAAAAUAUGCCUGACCUCUAACCUUUCCUUCUGAUUGACAGAAGGUAAUGGGUUAAGGACAGGCCACAGUG